AACGAACGCUGGCGGCAUGCCUAACACAUGCAAGUCGAACGAAACCUUCGGGUCUAGUGGCGCACGGGUGCGUAACGCGUGGGAACCUGCCCUUAGGUUCGGAAUAACUCCCCGAAAGGGGUGCUAAUACCGGAUAAUGUCUACGGACCAAAGAUUUAUCGCCUUUGGAUGGGCCCGCGUUGGAUUAGCUUGUUGGUAGGGUAAAAGCCUGCCAAGGCGACGAUUCAUAGCUGGUCUGAGAGGAUGGUCAGCCACACUGGGACUGAGACGCGGCCCAGACUCCUACGGGAGGCAGCAGUGGGGAAUAUUGGACAAUGGGCGAAAGCCUGAUCCAGCAAUGCCGCGUGAGUGAUGAAGUCCUUAGGGUUGUAAAGCUCUUUUACCCGGGAUGAUAAUGACAGUACCGGGAGAAUAAGCUCCGGCUAACUCCGUG
rnacentral:rRNA from 1 species